UAUUAGCGUUGGACUCUUAAGUUAAGACUUAAAAUAUAUGGUCGGCUGAUAUUGCAUGAAAUUUACACGAAAGACUUAUUUUCCAAAUUGAUAAAUAUAUACAAGAAUACAAUCCCGAGGGACGGCGCAGUAGAGGAAGACCGCGACUCAGGUGGCGCACCCAGGUGGGAGAGGACCUCAACCAACUUGGCGUGCGAAACUGGAGACAGCUAGCUAAGGACCGAGCUGGCUGGAGACGCUUGUUGGUUGGGGCCCAGGUCCGCCCCGGACUGUAGCGCCACCUUAAGUAAUAAGAAAACUGUCCUCGUAUUCUAUUACGCAAAAUCCUAGAGUAUGAGAGUGAGGAAGGAAUAAACCAACAACACCAGAAACAACAACAACAACAAAAAAAAGUAAUAAAACACCAAGUCUCAUGAUGUCUCAAGGGAAUGGCAUGACAGUGUGAAUGGUAGCAACGAUGAUGGCGCGCGCCAGUACAUACGACACGACACAACGACGACUAUUCAUAUGAAUUCCUAUUUUUUUAAAAAAGAAAAACACCAAAAUUAAAAAGUCGAGAAAAGUCUUUAAAAAAUAAAGAACGAAUGAAAAUAAUACUAAAACAGAAAAA